GACGAACGCUGGCGGCGUGCUUAACACAUGCAAGUCGAACGGAAAGGCGCUGCUCUUGUGGGGUGCUCGAGUGGCGAACGGGUGAGUAACACGCGAGUAACCUGCCCUUGAAUUUGGGAUAACAUCAGGAAACUGGGGCUAAUACCGGAUAGGAGCUCCUGCUGCAUGGGGGGGGUUGGAAAGUUUCGGCGGUUGGGGAUGGACUCGCGGCUUAUCAGCUUGUUGGUGGGGUAGUGGCUUACCAAGGCUUUGACGGGUAGCCGGCCUGAGAGGGUGACCGGCCACAUUGGGACUGAGAUACGGCCCAGACUCCUACGGGAGCCAGCAGUGGGGAAUCUUGCACAAUGGGCGGAAGCCUGAUGCAGCAACGCCGCGUGCGGGAUGACGGCCUUCGGGUUGUAAACCGCUUUCGCCUGUGACGAAGCGUGAGUGACGGUAACGGGUAAAGAAGCACCGGCUAACUACGUG
rnacentral:rRNA from 1 species